GAUGAACGCUGGCGGCGUGCCUAAUACAUGCAAGUCGAGCGAACAGACGAGGAGCUUGCUCCUCUGACGUUAGCGGCGGACGGGUGAGUAACACGUGGAUAACCUACCUAUAAGACUGGGAUAACUUCGGGAAACCGGAGCUAAUACCGGAUAAUAUAUUGAACCGCAUGGUUCAAUAGUGAAAGACGGUUUUGCUGUCACUUAUAGAUGGAUCCGCGCCGCAUUAGCUAGUUGGUAAGGUAACGGCUUACCAAGGCAACGAUGCGUAGCCGACCUGAGAGGAUGAUCAGCCACACUGGAACUGAGACACGGUCCAGACUCCUACGGGAGGCAGCAGUAGGGAAUCUUCCGCAAUGGGCGAAAGCCUGACGGAGCAACGCCGCGUGAGUGAUGAAGGUCUUCGGAUCGUAAAGCUCUGUUAUUAGGGAAGAACAAAUGUGUAAGUAACUAUGCACGUCUUGACGGUACCUAAUCAGAAAGCCCCGGCUAACUACGUG
rnacentral:rRNA from 1 species